rnacentral:rRNA from 1 species
AUAUUAUUAAGCGGAGGAAAAGAAACUAACAAGGAUUCCCCUAGUAACGGCGAGUGAAGCGGGAAGAGCUCAACUUGAAAAUCGGUGCUCCACGCGGGGUAUCGAGUUGUAGUCUAGAGACGUGCUGUCAGCGUGUGACCCAGCUAUAAAUCUUUUGGAACAAGGUAUCAUAGAGGGUGAGAAUCCCGUCUUUGAGCUGGAGUUCGCCGCGUACGAUACACGUUCAACGAGUCGAAUAGGUCGGGAUUCCUGUUCUAAAUGGGUGGUAAAAUUUCAUCUAAAGCUAAAUACAGGCGAGAGACCGAUAGCGCACAAGUA